rnacentral:rRNA from 1 species
GACGAACGCUGGCGGCGUGCUUAACACAUGCAAGUCGAACGGAGUGGCGAACGGGUGAGUAUUACGUGAGUAACCUUCCCUCAACUGUGGGAUACGCCUGGGAAACUGGGUCUAAUACUGCAUAGGUGGUGAUGGGCUAGGGGUCUCUGUGCGUGUUGGUGGGGUGAUGGUCUACCAAGGCGGUGGCGGGUAGCGGGCCUGAGAGGGUGGGCCGCCACAGUGGGACGGAGGUACGGCCCCGAGUACUACGGGAGGCAGCAGUGGGGGAUAUUGCACAAGGGGUGAAAGCCUGAUGCAGCGAGGCGGCGUGGGGGAUGAAGGCUUUGGGGUUGUAAACCUCUUUCGCUAGCGAACGGGUAGGUGGAGAAGAAGCGCCGGCUAACUACGUGCCAGCAGCCGCGGUAAUAC